rnacentral:rRNA from 1 species
GAUGAACGCCGGCGGUGUGCCUAAUACAUGCAAGUCGAGCGCACUGGCCCAACUGAUAUGACGUGCUUGCACUGAAUUGACGUUGGAUUCCCAGUGAGCGGCGGACGGGUGAGUAACACGUGGGCAACCUGCCCUGAAGCGGGGGAUAACAUCUGGAAACAGAUGCUAAUACCGCAUAACAACGAAAACCACAUGGUUUUCGUUUCAAAGAUGGUUUCGGCUAUCACUUCAGGAUGGGCCCGCGGUGCAUUAGCUAGUUGGUAAGGUAACGGCUUACCAAGGCGAUGAUGCAUAGCCGAGUUGAGAGACUGAUCGGCCACAAUGGAACUGAGACACGGUCCAUACUCCUACGGGAGGCAGCAGUAGGGAAUCUUCCACAAUGGGCGCAAGCCUGAUGGAGCAACACCGCGUGAGUGAAGAAGGGUUUCGGCUCGUAAAGCUCUGUUGUUGGAGAAGAACGUGCGUGAGAGUAACUGUUCACGCAGUGACGGUAUCCAACCAGAAAGUCACGGCUAACUACGUGCCAGCAGCCGCGGUAAUACGUAGGUGGCAAGCGUUAUCCGGAUUUAUUGGGCGUAAAGCGAGCGCAGGCGGUUGCUUAGGUCUGAUGUGAAAGCCUUCGGCUUAACCGAAGAAGUGCAUCGGAAACCGGGCGACUUGAGUGCAGAAGAGGACAGUGGAACUCCAUGUGUAGCGGUGGAAUGCGUAGAUAUAUGGAAGAACACCAGUGGCGAAAGCGGCUGUCUGGUCUGCAACUGACGCUGAGGCUCGAAAGCAUGGGUAGCGAACAGG